AACUCAACGGCAGUGGGUUUGGUUUUGUGGAGUCAGCAUGUAUAGCGGUGAAAGUUCUAGAGACCAUGAUCUAAUCAAGUAGAAAGUAGAGGGGAUUUGCACACAAGCAGUUGCUGGAAGCCUUGCAGCCUGUACCAGUGUGGGGUUUCCUUUCAGAGGGCUUGAAGCCCUGUCUGGAGGUCAGGUUAGCAGUGUAGAUAAGACCAGUCAGGUGAACAGCUCCUUAGCUGCAGAUUGGUACUUGGAGACCUGUGGGGUGCUGGGCCCUGUGUGAGCUGCUGGACCCAUAAAGGUGAGUGCCACACCAUCACUGUACUUAUACUCACUUUCUAACACCAUGAAAUAAAAAUAACAACACAGAAAGCUUUUUUUUUUUUUGAGUCCUUGCUCUGCUAGGCACUGGGGCUGUGGUGGUGAAUAAGACCCACAUGAUCCCUGCCCAGCAGGGAGGGAAGUAGGCUGGCCAAUUUGUCCCAGUUUGCCUAGGACUCUCUCAGUUUGAGUACUGAAAGGCCUGUGUCCCAGGAACCCCUCAGCCCUGGACAAAUCAGGACAGUUAGGCCCUCGACAGGUAAGUCAACAGUUGAGACAAUAGCUACAAACACGUUGAGUGACAGAUGCACUGUGUCACCCGGUUACAGCACACUUGGAAGUCAGUGGCUCUGGAAGCUAGGUGGAGAAUGGCUGGUCAGGGACAAAAAUGGAGCAGGGAAGGCUAGAUAGAUAAACAGCUCUUGUAGUAGUCCAAGGGAGAGAUGAUGGCGGUGUGGAUUAGGCAGGUGGCUGUGAGAAUGGAAAGGAGAAGAAUCUACAGGCUAAGAGACUGGUUGGAUAUGUAGAGUGGAGAAUCGAGAAAUGCCUGGGUUUCAGGCUUGAACAGCCAACAGUAGAGAACCUUGCAGGAGGUGGCAGUUAGAAGGGAAGUGACAAUGAGUUCAGUUUUAGGUGUGAUGAGUUUGAGGCCCCAAGAUACACUCGCUGGCUUUAGCAAAGUGCACAGAGUCAGGUUUGCUAGCCCUUGGUUUUCAAGGCUUCCAACAAAUAGUUCCUGGGUGCUGCCAUAUGCUAGGCGUGGAGUGGGUGAUCAGACACAAUGAGCAGCAAAUGUGAUGCUAUCACUCACUCAUGGAGCAGAAAUUACUAACCACAUGAAUCGUGUAAUUGCAAUCACAGGUAAGCUCUCUGGAGCAUGGGAGCUCGACCUGGGCCAGAGGCCCUGUGAAAGCUUUCUUAAGGAAACGACUUUGAGACUGAGAGCCAGAGGAACCGGUAAGUGGUGUCAACCAGGUGCGAGAAGGGGCAAAGUUCUGGAUGGAGGCAGCAUCAUGUGUAAAGUCCCUGUGGUGCUGGGCAGCAAGCCCAGCUGAAGCUCAGAGGGAAGAGGCACGUGGUGUGAAACAAGGUUGAACAAAGGUAGUCAGAGGGCAGACCAUGCAGGGCCUUAUGGGACGUGCUCUUUUCUCUUUAAUUUUUAAACGUAUAAAUAUUACCUUUAAAAAAAAAAAAAGUCCAGAUAAAGCUGAAAUCUUACUAUCUCUCCAUUCCGGCCCUCUUCAAAUCUUAAGAAAAUAAUUUGCAGUCAUGUUCUACAUGUUUUCUUAUGGAAAUGACACAAUAUGAAGCUUAUUCUGCAAGUUGCUUUUGUCCUUUCAAUGAGAUUUUGAGACCUAUCUGUGCAGUCACAUCUUUUUACCAGCUACUCGACGUUCCGUUUUCUCUCUUCCACUCCUGAUGAAUGUCUAGGUUAUUUCCAAGGUCUCAGAAUUACAGAUAAGGUGGCAGCACCCCCUCUCAGCCACACCUCCUUAGGCACAAGUGUGAGUGUUUCUCCACGUAGCUACUAAGAGGUGAGCCUUACUAUAUCACAGAGUCGGCACAGUUUGAGCUUGAUUUAAAAAAAAAAAAUCAGAUGAGAUGCUGCCAAAUCGCCUUCAAAGUAGUGGUAACCAAUUAUUUUCCUGUCGUUUUCUAGGAUUUCUUUAUAAAUUUAGGUGGUCUAGUUUCACCUGCUUUUUCUUGAUGUUUCUUUGCUUUUGUGUCCUAUUGAGGGGGACCUUUUGGUUUUUGCUAUGUUGGUUCUUUAGCCUUGCCAUCCACUGGCUACAUUACUGGGUCUCCUGCCCACAAAUUAAUGCCAUUUCUGCCUAAGUUAGCCAGAGUCAGUUUUCGUUGGUUAGAACUAAGAAUACGAAUGAGUAGAGUCAUCAGCAAAUUUAAAAAUACAUAUGUUUUCCUCAAAUAUGUUUAAGUUUUGCUUUAACACUCUUACUAAAUCCAUCUGGAAUUUGUUUUGUGUGGUACGAAGUAGGGAUUUUAAUUUAUUUUCAUAUGGAUGGCUGCCCAGCCACUUAUUUAUUUAUUUUAAAUGUUAAUGGGCCUCAUUUAUUUUUUUUAAUAUAAUAGUCUUUAUUUUUUAGAGCACUUGCAGAGCUCUCGAAAAAUUGUAUAGGAAGUACAGAGAGUUCCUGGAUCCUCUGGUUCAGCACGGUUUCUCCUGUUAUUAACAUCUUGCAUUAGUGUAGUACCUUUGUUACAAAUGAUGAACCAGUAUUGACACGUGAUUAUAUUAAAGGCCAUAGGUUACAUGAGGGUUCACUCUGUUGUACGGUUCUAUGGGCUUUGACAAAUGCAUGCUGUCAUGUACCCACCAUCACAGUAGCAUACAGAAUAGUUCCACUGCCCUAAAAAUGCCCUGUACCCACCUCCUCUCCUCCCCCUGAACCCUGGCAACCACUGAUCUUUUCACUGUCUCUACAGUUUUUCCUUUUCCAGAAUGUCAUAGGGUUGGAAUCAUGCACUAUAUAGCCUUUCCAGACUGGCUUCUUUUGCUUAGCAAUAUCAUCCAUUUUAUUUUUUAACCUGUUUCUUAAGGAAUAGUUCAUUUUUUACCCAUAGUUUUGAUAUGCCGUCCCUAUCGUAUACCAGGGAAACCCUGGUAGCAUAGUGGUUAAGAGCUAUGCCUGCUAACCAAAAGUUUGGCAGUUCAAAUCCACCAGGCGCUCCUUGGAAACUCUGUGGGGCAGUUCUACUCUGUCCUAUAGGGUCACUAUGAGUCGGAAUCAACUCGCGGCAAUGGGUUUGGUUUGGUGGUUUUUUAUCAUAUGCCAAAUUCGCAUAUAUGCACAGGACUCUCUAGCCUGUUUCACGGACCUUCUAUUCUGUUUAUUGAUCCGACUGUCCAUUUUUGUACCCAUUUCAUGGUUUUAAUUACUACAGUUUUAUAAGAUGUCUUAAUAUCAGAUGGAAAGUGGCAAUGGGUUUGGUUUGAUCUUUUGGUUCUUCGAUGUCCUCAGGAAAGCUUUAUAACUUCCCCACAAAGAGCGUGCACGUGAGUUUAUUCACCAGAACUUUAUGGUUUUGUUGCCAUGGGCAGUAGGACCUUUACUCCUUGCCCUUUUGAAAUUGAUACUGCUGGUAUAUGGGAAAGCUGUUGAUACAGGUAUGCUGAUCAUCCACUGGCCUAGUUGGUGAAUUCUCUUGAUUAGCUCUACUAGUUUAGAUGUUUUCCAAGAUGGUCAUAUCACCUGCAGAUGAUGACAGCGUAAUCUCAUGCUUUCCAGUCAUUCGUUUAUCUUUCUUCCCUUGGCUUACAGCAUUAACUAGGGCCUCGUGUACCAUGUUGGUUAUCAGUGGUAAGAGUGAUGACCAUUUCUAAUGCGCCACCAUUAAAUCUCAUGUUUGCCAGAAGACUUUCUGUAAUCUAUGUCACAAGUUUUGCUGGAAACUUUAUCAGGUUCAGGAAGUUCCCUUCUAAUCCUAUUUGGCUGUUUGUUUUUAAAUCAUAAAUGGCUGUUGAAUUUUGCAGAGUCUCUCAUUCAGUGGAUAGAUUGCUGCCUUUGAGUCGACUCCAACUCCUGGUGACCGUAUGUACAACAGAACAAAACAUUUCCUGGUCCUGUGUCAUCCUCAUGGGCACUGUCACGUUCAAGUCCAUCGUUGCGACUAAUGUGUCAAUCUAUCUCACCAAGGGUCUCCUUCACCCUCACCGGGCCUCUACUUCAUCAACCAUGAUAUCCCUCUCAGCGAUGGAUCCCUUUUGAUGACAUGUCCAAAGCAAAUGACUCUCAGGGCUGACCUAGAACGUGAGGUCUAGAAGGAGUGGAGCACCCUCUUGUGGGCCCCUGGGUGAAAACAGGAACUAUUUCCAGAGAAGAAAGUUAGAAAAGGAACAGGACUGGAAGAGCCCCAGGGUGUAGAAUGCCCUGAACUUCUUCAAAAAUCCAGGGCACCCAGGAACACUGUUUUCAGAUGACAUAUCCCAGGAUCCUCUGGAAUUUAAUCAGCUGAUCUGAACAACUUUGGUGGGAAAUUUGAAACUGAGCAUUCUGAGGCGGACAUCACUGGCCUCUUCGCCUUCACUUGCUCUCAGCUUCAGGGUCAGGAAAGAAAGAAGCCAGCAGAGAGACAGGGGGACCUCAUGUCACCGAGAAAGCAGCUCCAGGAGCAGAGCUCUUCCUUUGGACUUGGGAUUCCUGCACGGAGAAGCUCCUAGUCCAGGGGAAGGUUGAUGACAAGGACCUUCCUCCAGAGCCAACAGAGAAAGCCUUCCCCUGGAGCUGACACCCUGAAUUUGGACUUCUAGCCUACUAGACUGAAAGAAUAAACUUCCAUUUAUUAAAGCCAUCCACUUUUGGUAUUUCUGUUAUAGCAGCACUAGAUGACUAAGACAACUCCCCAGCUAAUGUGUAAGCUCCAUGACAGCAGACGCUACAUCUGUUUUGUUUACCACCAGCAUAUACCAUGUUGUUCUUGUUAGGUGCUGUUGAGUCGAUUCUGACUCACAGUGGCCCAAUGUGACAGAGUAGAACUGCCCCAUAGGGCUUCCUAGGCUGUAACCUUUAUGGGAGCAGAUUGCCAGGUCUUUUUUCCCACAGAGUGGCUGGGUGGGUUCCAACUGCCAACUUUUGGUAACCAGCCGAGUGCUUAACCAUGGUGCCACCAAGGCUCCUUAGCAUACACUAUAAUAGCUCUUAAAUAAAUACUGGCUGAUGGAAUGAAGCCAUCAAAGAUUUGUCUGCUUUAAUGCAGUAUAUAUAAAAAUUACAAAGGUUUAUAGUUAACUGGUGGAUUUUUUUUUUUUUUCAAUCCUAGUUUAACUUGAAAUUUACAAUUACUUCUCCAUUGCCCCUGCCAAGGGAAAACACCUUAAAAAUAAGAAAAAUAACCUUUUAUUCCUUUUACGAGACUUUGCUUCUGUUCUUUUUUUUCCCCAUUUAAACUUGGUCAGCUUUAUCUGGUUUCUGGUUAAUCACUCUGUGUGUGUGUGUAUAUAUAUAUAUACACCCACAAAUUAAGGCAAGCUUUUUAAAAAAGAUGGAAUCGCUUUGUUGUUGUAGGUAUUGUUGAGUCAGUUCCAAUUCAUAGUGAUCCCUAUGUACAACAGAACAAAACACUGCUCAGUCCUGUGCCAUCCUCACAAUCAUUGCUGUGUUUGAGCCCAUGGUUACAGCCACUGUGUCAGUCCAAUCUCCUUGAGGGCCUUCCUCUUUUUCGCUGACCCUCUACUUUACCAAGCUUGAUGCUCUCCAGGAGCCGGUCUCUUCUGAUAACAUGUGUAAAGUAAGUGAGACGAAGUCUUGCCAUCCUUGCUUUUAAGGAACAUUCUGGCUGUACUAUAUGAAGAAGAAUGUGGCAUCAGGAUUGGAGGAAGACUUAUUAACAACCUGCAAUAUGCAGAUGUCACAACCUCGCUAAAAGUGAAGAGGACUGGAAACACUGAUGAAGAUCGAAGACUAUAGCCUUCAGUAUGGGAUUACACCUCAACACAAAGAAAAAAAUCCUCACAACUGGACCAAUAAUAUCAU